UUUGAGCAAUAUAAAAGGUAAUGCCUGCCCAGUGACCAUGUGUUCAACGGCCGCGGUAUUCUGACCGCGCGAAGGUAGCGUAAUCACUUGUUUUUUAAAUAAAGACUAGUAUGAACGGCCGCACGAGGACUUAACUGUCUCCUUAGUUCAAUCAGUGAAACUGAUCUCCUCGUGCAGAAGCGAGGAUUCCCUCAUAAGACGAGAAGACCCUAUGGAGCUUUAAACUUUUAUCAAAUAUUUUUCCUACCUCUCCAAGGAACUAACACCCAAUUAAAUUUUCUUGACAAAAGUUUUAGGUUGGGGCGACCAUGGAGAAAAAAAAAUCCUCCCUGAUGAUAACCAAACCAAGAGCUACAGCUCUAAGUAUUAAGACACUUAACUCCUAUUGACCCAUUUUAUGAUCAACGAACCA
rnacentral:rRNA from 1 species